rnacentral:rRNA from 1 species
UACGUAGGGUGCGAGCGUUAAUCGGAAUUACUGGGCGUAAAGCGUGCGCAGGCGGUUUUGUAAGCCAGAUGUGAAAUCCCCGGGCUUAACCUGGGAAUGGCAUUUGGGACUGCAAGGCUGGAGUGUGGCAGAGGAGACUGGAAUUCCUGGUGUAGCAGUGAAAUGCGUAGAUAUCAGGAGGAACACCGGUGGCGAAGGCGGGUCUCUGGGCAACAACUGACGCUGAGGAGCGAAAGCGUGGGGAGCAAACAGG